UAGAGCGUUGCCCCAGGUAUGGCGUAAUAAUGAUUCUGUCAGUCGUUAGCCAUCUGCCACGAUGAGUGGGACACACGACGGUUGUAGAUCGGCCAAAGGAGAUCUGCAAUCAUUAUUGCACCGAAUCCUGAGGUCUAUUUAAACCCGUCCCCCUCUUUCAGGGGUUUCACCUUGCCUAAGAUUUUUCUUCGAUCCCCUCUUCUUCCCGAGAGCUUCAUCCUCCUCCAACGUCCCUCUCGAUCUUAGGUGCCCUUCAGGUCGACCUCCAUCACCUUCACUGCCCUCCUGCACCUCUCGGACCAGCCUAGAUUAGUUCCGGAACCCUUUUUUUCUUGCUAUUCUUCCAUUUUUUCUCCUCUACAUUUCACCUGUUCAGUUUCUCCGCGAGUGCCUUGUUUCCUAUUUUUUUCAAUUUUUUCAAAAUUUUUUGGGAUUUUCAUUUGAUUCAAAAUAUCCUCCAACAC
rnacentral:lncRNA from 1 species